rnacentral:rRNA from 1 species
GGGUGCGAUCAUACCAGUGUUAAUGCACCGGAUCCCAUCAGAACUCUGCAGUUAAGCGCGCUUGGGCUAGAGUAGUACUGGGAUGGGUGACCUCCCGGGAAGUCCUAGUGUUGCACCCU